GAUGAACGCUGGCGGCGUGCCUAAUACAUGCAAGUCGAGCGAACAGACGAGGAGCUUGCUCCUCUGACGUUAGCGGCGGACGGGUGAGUAACACGUGGAUAACCUACCUAUAAGACUGGGAUAACUUCGGGAAACCGGAGCUAAUACCGGAUAAUAUAUUGAACCGCAUGGUUCAAUAGUGAAAGACGGUUUUGCUGUUACUUAUAGAUGGAUCCGCGCCGCAUUAGCUAGUUGGUAAGGUAACGGCUUACCAAGGCAACGAUGCGUAGCCGACCUGAGAGGAUGAUCGGCCACACUGGAACUGAGACACGGUCCAGACUCCUACGGGAGGCAGCAGUAGGGAAUCUUCCGCAAUGGGCGAAAGCCUGACGGAGCAACGCCGCGUGAGUGAUGAAGGUCUUCGGAUCGUAAAACUCUGUUAUUAGGGAAGAACAAAUGUGUAAGUAACUAUGCACGUCUUGACGGUACCUAAUCAGAAAGCCACGGCUAACUACGUG
rnacentral:rRNA from 1 species